AAUAGAUACCCAGGUAGUCCACGCCGUAAACGUUGGGAACUAGAUGUGGGGACCAUUCCACGGUCUCCGUGUCGUAGCUAACGCAUUAAGUUCCCCGCCUGGGGAGUACGGCCGCAAGGCUAAAACUCAAAGGAAUUGACGGGGGCCCGCACAAGCGGCGGAGCAUGCGGAUUAAUUCGAUGCAACGCGAAGAACCUUACCAAGGCUUGACAUAUACGAGAACGCGCUGGAGACAGCGAACUCUUUGGACACUCGUAUACAGGUGGUGCAUGGUUGUCGUCAGCUCGUGUCGUGAGAUGUUGGGUUAAGUCCCGCAACGAGCGCAACCCUCGUCCUAUGUUGCCAGCACGUCAUGGUGGGAACUCAUGGGAUACUGCCGGGGUCAACUCGGAGGAAGGUGGGGAUGAGGUCAAAUCAUCAUGCCCCUUAUGUCUUGGGCUUCACGCAUGCUACAAUGGCCGGUACAAUGGGCUGCGAUACCGCAAGGUGGAGCGAAUCCCAAAAAGCCGGUCUCAGUUCGGAUUG
rnacentral:rRNA from 1 species